AUCCAGCUGACGAGUCCCAAAUAGGACGAAACGCGCGUCAAGAAU
rnacentral:hammerhead_ribozyme from 1 species